UACGGAGGGUGCAAACGUUGCUCGGAAUCAUUGGGCGGAAAGCGCACGUAGGUGGCUUGUUAAGUCGGGUGUGAAAUCCCUGGGCUCAACCCAGGAAGUGCACUCGAAACUGGCGAGCUUGAGUACUGAAGAGGGUCGCGGAAUUCCCGGUGUAGAGGUGAAAUUCGUAGAUAUCGGGAGGAACACCAGUGGCGAAGGCGGCGACCUGGGCAGAUACUGACACUGAGGUGCGAAAGCGUGGGGAGCAAACAGG
rnacentral:rRNA from 1 species